rnacentral:lncRNA from 1 species
CCGGUGGGGUGCAGCCCUGCUGAAGCCCCAGAGCUCAGCCCAGUGCUGGGCACAUAGUAGGCGCUCAGGAAAUGAUUGCUGAAUGUGGAAUGAAAGUCCCCAGCAGGCAAAAGGCUGUGACUUCUGUUAGUGGGGUGGUGGUCCUCUGGGGCGAGUGUAUGGAGAACUUCAAGGCCUCCUCCUGGCUGCCCAGGAAGUAGAGGGCGCCAAAGGCGACGUGCCGGCCGCCAGCUCCAGGCCGAGCCCCGAGCGCCUGCAGGAACACGCCCCUUCACCCGGCGCGGGACGCAGAGCUGCGAGAGAAUCUUGUUCAGCGCGGACUCAACGCCAGGGCGCCGCCUAGAGGUUGGUCUCUGUCUCGGCCUCACCCGCCGGGAGACCACAGAGCUGCUUCCCCAGCCGCCCGCCGCCAGAAAUUGGAAAAAAAAAAAAAAAAAAAAAAAAAAUCCAGCUGGGGUCUAGGAACUCGGCUUCUGGCACCUCUGAAUUCUCCGAGACUGUCUCCUCCCUCCCCGCCUGUAAUGAACCCUGUGAAGGGAGACAGGCCAGGAAGUCCCAGAAAUAUUUAUUCUUGUGACUCUCACAAAAUGGAAAAGGGUCUCAAUUUUUGUUUCUUUAAGGAACUUGUGUUCUGCGUCUGUGUCUACACUGCCUCCUCUCACCAACCAAAUUGUCUAGCCCCCCUCCAGUUACGCUAGAACUCUGCUUUAUCUUCAAGGAAGAAAGGGAGUGGGGAGAAGUUACCUCUAAACCCUCCAGCAUGGCCAUCAAUUUUCUGAAUAAUUUGGAGGUCAACAUGCUUUUGGAAAAGUGUUUGGAAAACGUUUGGGGGUGAAAAGAAAUGUUGCCUAACUGGCCUUUACUCACGGAGUGACCAUCAUCUCAGCUAGUUAGUGUAUGAGCGGCACCAGCACCCCGGCCAUGGGUGUCUGUGCUGAGCCUCUGAAAGUUGACUUAUCCUUUGGGGAGCCCUCGGAAAGACACAGCUGGUAUCUAUGGGAAUGGCUUUGGGGUGUCCUUUGGCACCAUACAGAUAAUUUUGUUUUUUUAAUUGGAAUCCAUGGCCUGGGUUCUUGGGAUGGGGGUAGGGGGAAGCCACAAAGCCCCUGGAAAUGUAUGCAAAACAUAUGGGUGUGCAGGUGCAUCAUCCUAAGGCUAUGGCCUCUUCAGUUUUUCCAAAGAGUCUAAGACUAUAAAAGGUUUCCAUCUCCUUUUCUCAGCCAGGGAGCCACAGAGACCCAGGCCAGCAGUAGGCUGGGAGCCAGCACACCGGCCCCCACCAGGUGCCCGGUAGGGGAUGGGUAAUAACACUCUUGAAUGGUCUGGAAACUGCUGGCCCCUCAGUCCUGCCGUCCUCCCAGAGGGAAAUCCUAAUAGAAGAAGUGACAGCCAGUAGCUGCCAUCUCAGUAUUUUGAAUGAAAAUAUAACAUGAUAAAGAGCAAAUGAGGGAGGCUGGAGGGGCCUCCCCAUGCAAAUACUGGAAUAUGAAUGUUGGCCAGAAAUAAGAUACUUCCUGCCCUCCAGCUGUUAAAGAGCUCCCCAAUUCCUCCCUUUUGGUGCUAGGAAGGGGCCAGAGGGCACUGCCCCCAGACCACCACCCACCUCUGGAGAGCUGGGGCCGAGUGGGACUGCCUGCAGCAGAGUUAACCCUUCAGAAAAUUCAAAACCUAUACUGCCUAGUAUUUUCCCUGCCCGUUUAUUUUUUAAUCAGAUUUUUAAAAUAUCCAGCAGCACUUUGGUGCCUUUUCUUGGGGUUGGGGAGUGGGGUUAUCUAUGUGUGUAUCUAUGGGAAGGUGGGUGCCUUCAGUGCACUAAACCCCCUCUUGGGCCUGCAGCUGGACCUCACUCCUGUACCUGAACACUCUGCCUGAGCCUGAGCUAAUCUUAGCCAUCCAUUGUGUCUCAAAACUGUUUUGGAGGUGAAUAACUGUGAGGCAGGAUGGAGAACCUUUUGCUCUCCCAUCCAGAAGGGCACCUAACCAGGCCCCUGGAGCAGACAAAAGGAGCAGGAAGUCAAUCACUUCGAUCCCAGUUCUCUGAAGCCCAAGAAGAAAACGGAUUUUCCUUCGUUUUGGUUCGGAGGCCUAGUAGAGAAUUUGGAUUCCACCAAGUUCUCUUUUUUCAAAAAAAGUAAACGGUCCAGAGCAGACAAAAACUGUGGAAACUUGAGGCCUGGGUAGUAGUGGUUUUGUUUGAUUUUGAGGCUUUAAAGAGAUAAGGAGACGGUGGUGGAGCUCCGCCACGCCGCGUGGCUCUCACUUCCACGCCGAGGAAGACCGACCGGCCCCUAGGUUUAUCCUCUGGGAGCCCCCGGCCCAAUCAGCCCCCUUCAGGCCUUGGGAGUCACCCCGAGUCUUAUCUUCUGUCCCCUUCCAGCAAGUACCCGGCAAUAAACGGGCAGGGCUGGGCAAAGGUCUGGCCGCUAGAAACGGAAAAGGAAAGAGAAAAGUAAAGUUAAACAAAAAACAAAAACAAAAAACCCUUGGGUCGGGCGCGGUGGCUUACGCCUGUAAUCCCAGCACUUUGGGAGGCCGAGGAGGGUGGAUCACGAGGUCAGGAGUUCAAGAUCAGCUUGGCCAAUAUUGUGAAACCCCGUCUCUACUAAAAAUACAAAAAUUAGCCGGGCGUGGUGGCGGGCGCCUGUAGUUCCAGCUACUCGGGAGGCUGAGGCAGGAGAAUCGCUUGAACCGGGAGGCGGAGGUUGCAGUGAGCCGAGAUCGCGCCACUGCACUCCAGCCUGGGUGACACAGCAGGACUCUGUCAAAAAAAAAGAAAAAAGAAAAAACCCGCUUUCAGCGGAAAGAUGCAAAAAAUGGAGGCCACCGGGCGUGGUUGGGAGAGCCUGGGCUUUCGCAAGGAAGCGCCAGGGAGCCCAGUUCUGCUCUAGCGAGAAGCAGGGAGCCUCAUCCCAAGCCCGGCGGGCCGAGCCGAUCAUAGGGUCUGCGCGGGGCUCUGUGGAUUUUCCGUGUAGGCGGCGGCUUCCAGUCUCUGCCGGGCGCGGGCUGGGUCAGCGCCGACUCCUCCGAGAGAAGAGCGCGCCUGGCGGCCGGUUCGGCGGAGGCCAAGUCCCGGGGGCUGGGGCUGCUUCUCUCCACGCGGACAAAGUGUGCGGGCAAAGAAAGGGGCCGAGGCGGGUGCUUCUGCCGCUCGUAAAUUUGUUUCCCCUUCCUUUUAAUCCGCCCCCGGACGUCUUUCUUUUCAGGACAGGAGGGGAUGUAAACCGUUUGAAGUUCAUCAACACGGUGAAGUUUUAUUGUAUUUCCGGUCCCCAAGAUUUAUACCCGGGAGGGGGAGCGGGCGGCCAGGUGGACUCCCUCGCUACCUCGGACUUCCCUGCCGGACACGUGGCCACUCGGACCCUCGCUUCUGGGCGAGGGCGGGAGGGAGCCUGGACUGGGCCGCGGCCGCUGGCUCCGCACCUUCCGACGGCCGCGCACUGCCGGCACCGCCGCCGCCCAGGAACUGACCGCAAACGAGGCCGCCAGACCUACACCCGCUACCAGACCCUGGAGCUGGAGAAAGAAUUUCACUACAAUCGCUACCUGACGCGGCGGCGGCGCAUCGAGAUCGCGCACACGCUCUGCCUCACGGAAAGACAGAUCAAGAUUUGGUUUCAGAACCGGCGCAUGAAGUGGAAAAAGGAGAACAAGACCGCGGGCCCGGGGACCACCGGCCAAGACAGGGCUGAAGCAGAGGAGGAAGAGGAAGAGUGAGGGAUGGAGAAAGGGCAGAGGAAGAGACAUGAGAAAGGGAGAGGAAGAGAAGCCCAGCUCUGGGAACUGAAUCAGGAAACUCAAAUCGAAUAGGGAAGUAAAAAAACAAAACAAAAAACAAAAAAAACAAAAAAAAAACCCUAUUUAAAUGAAAGGAGUUUAAAAACAUUUUUUAAGGAGGGAGAAAGGAGAAAUUUUGGUUUUUCAACACUGAA